CUGCCAAGGGCUGGCGCGCUGGCCGCGCUGCGCUCCGGGAGCAGGCUGAGCCGAGCUAGGAGUGAUCAAUACAAGUGGAAAGUACGGCGGCGGCGGCGGCUGCGCUCGGUGCCAGGCGGCAUCUGGGGUUUGUGCUUUUAAUUGGUGACAUCCACCUUCAACGUGACCCUAAGGAUUUUGCUAAAAGGCUGUCUAGAGUUCCUAGUGGCAAGACGACUGUAUUGCAGGGCGCGGAGACAAUCCAAGUGUCACAAGCUUCAUCCAGCCGUGCGUUUACACUGUCAGCAGCGGGUGCGGUGCUAAUGAACCAGAGAUAUUACAUUUUUGGAGAAAUGAAGGGGAAGUCGACCGAUCUGCACAUGAGGCUAUGCUAAGCGGGGCUCAAGCACCAUCCCUAGUGAGCCAUAAAGCUAUGGAAAGUGGCUGGAUUUGUGCGUUCAGUGAUUAUUUCUCCUCACAGGACUCCAUUCCUGGACCAUGUUCUGGGGACACUGCAAGACAAGAAGUGCCGUUAACCCCUGAGCCAUCUCUCCAGCCCCUAUCCUGUGUUUAUCUUAAAAACAGGAACAAAAGAAAUCGAGGAUCCACUGAGAGCUGAAGGGAGCUUUUUAGAUUCUCCCUCCAUAUAAUGCCUGGCUGUGAGUCUCUGCAUCUGUUCCCACCUGCUGCUAGAGGAAGCCUCGCUGAUGAAGACUAGACAAAGCACUGAAAAACGAAUAUAGGAGAAUAUCAUUAGGAUUAAUUGUAUUGAUUUUCUAGACCAGUUGUGUUUGGUUUCACCCCAGGUCUUUGAGCUAUAUAGUCUCUCUCUGGUUCUUGGUUACCUAAGCAGUAACCAUUAAAUCAGACAUUGAUUGGCUACUCCCAAAAGUUAUAUUGCAGCACUGCCCUACCAUAUUUUGCAGGCAAGAAAGAUUGUAGGUCAAAGGGUUGUGGCUGAGUUGAUGUCCAUGUUUCUCUUUUGGUAACCUGAGGAGUAAAUUCCUGCAAAUAAAGGACUAGAACAUAGAGAACAUAUGGGUAAAGGCUUCAUGCAGAUAAACGUCUCCAUGUUCAGUGAGAUAUGUGAAUGUUGUCCUAGGCAACAGGAUCUUGAUGUCAGUUUGCAGAGAGCAACCAUUUGUCUUAGCAUCAGUCUGGGUUGUUUGGAGAUUAGCAUGGGACUUUUUAAACCAACAACUCAUUUGAGCACAACCCAGUUCAUCCCCUGGAAGUCUUGCACAUGCCAGAGCUGGGGGUACCUGCUGUGGAGAGCUGCUAACAGGGAGUGGAACCAGCUCAAGUGAAAGAAGUGUGUUACAGUCAAAAAACCAAAAAACUGAAAAGAGUUGGAGAUCUGAAGAACAUUUUGCCAUCAGACAUGGAGAUGCAGAGUUUGGAGUUUGCCCAGCUGGUUUUUGGUCUUGCUUUGGUUCAGUAUUUCUUCACUAUGUUCCCUUUUCUACAUUUUGGAAUGGUAAUAAGUAUGUGAUAUGUUUUUUGAUUUUGAUUUUAUAGGGGCUUACAGUUAGAUUGCAUGACUCACGGUAGAGUCUUUGAACUUUAGACUUUUAAAUAAAUUUGAGACUGUUAUAGACUGUGGAGACUUUUGAAGUUGGACUGAAAGCAUUUUUUGCAUUAUGAUAUGGCUACAAGCCUGUGGAGUCCUGGAAUGGAAUGUGGUGGUUUGGAAGAAAAUGGACCCCACAGGGAGAGACUUUAUUAUGAUGGUGCGACUUGGCUGGAGUAGGUAUAGCCUUGUUGGAACUAUGUCACUGUUGGGGAAGGGUUUUGAGGUAUCCUGUGCUCAAGCUAUGCCCAGUGUUGCUGCCUGUGGAUCAAGAUAGAGAACUCCUGGGUCUUUCUCCAGCACAUCUCUGCCUACAUGCUGCCAUUGUCACCUGCCAUGAAGACAAUAAACCUCUGAACUGUAAGCUAGCCCCAGUUAAAUGUUUUCUUUUAUAAGAACUUGUCACGGUCAUGGUGCCUCUUCACAGCAGUAGCAAUCUUAACUAAGACACACAUUCAGUGUGUCUGGUUUUAUAUUGAGGUCUUUGAUACACUUGGACUUGAGUUUUGAGCAGGGUGAUAAAUGUGGAAUUAGUUGCAUUCUCCUACACACAGACAUUCAGUUUGGCCAGCACCAUUUGUUGAAGACGCUGUCUGGGUUUUUUUUUUUUUUUUCCAGUAUAUAUAUAUUUCUGGCUCCUCUCUCCCACCCAAAUAAGGUGUCCAAAUGUGUGUUUGGAUUUAUGUCUGGGUCUUCAGUUUGAUUUCACUGAUCAAUGUGUCUGUUUUUAUGUCAAUAACACGUGGUUUUUAUUACUAUUGCUCUGUAGUACAGCCUGAAAUCAGGGAUGGUGAUACCUCUGGAAUUCCUUUUAUUGUACAGGAUUGUUUUAUUAUCCUUGGGUUUUUGUUUUUCCAUAUAAAGUUGAAAAUUAUCCUUUCAAAACCUGUAAAGAAAUCGUGUUGGGAUUUUGAUGGGGAUUGCAUUGAAUCUGCAGAUUGCUUUUGGUAGGAUGGCCAGUUUUACUUAUGUUAAUCUUACGGAUGCAUGAGCAAGGGAGAUCUUUCCAUUUUCUGAUGUCUUCUUCAAUUUAUUUCUCCAAAGACCUGAAGUUUUUAUUAUAAGUUCUUUAAUCUUGCUUUGUUAGAGUUACCCCAAGAUAUUUUAUAUUAUUUGAGGCUAUUGUAAAGGGUGUUGUUUCUCUGGUUUCCUUCUCAGUCCAUUGAUCAUUUGUAUAUAGGAGGCUACUGUUUUUUUUUAAUUAGUCUUGUAUUCAGCCAUUUUAAUGAAAGUGUUUAUCAAAUGUAGGAGUUCCCUGGUGGAACUUUUAGGGUCAGUUGUGUAUUACUAUAUCAUCUGCAAAUAGUGAUACUUUGACUUCUCCCCUUCUAAUUUGUAUCCCCUUGAUCUCCUUCACUUGUCUUAUCAUU